UCCCUGGUGGCUCAGACGGUAAAGCGUCUGCCUACAAUGCUGGAGACCUGGGUUCGAUCCCUGGGUCGGGAA
rnacentral:tRNA from 1 species